AGCGGCUGGGCCCGUCCGGUGCGGGUGCGUGUGACGCGGUUGGGGAGGGGCUGGCUCCUGAGUCCUGACCCGCUUCACUCAGCUGCCCGGAUUGGGCCUUCCUCACGGCGCCACCAGCAGAGGUCUCCCAGCGAGCCCCGGCCCCGUUGGGGACGGCACAUUUUGGUUUAGUAAAAUCCUUCUCCUGCUCCAGGAGUGCCGGGCCCAGUCCUACCCGUGGCGCAAGCCAGCCAGGGGGGCUCAGCUGUCAUCUUUGAAGGCAAAACAGGAAAGUAUCCCGCUGUAGAGGAAAGACAGGAGAGAAUGAGACCAAUAUGGCUGCAGCAGAAGCUCUUUAUUAACCGGAAAAUCAAAAAAGAAUCUUACAAAAAGUGGAAACAUGGACAGAUUGCCAGGAGUACAAAAGAUUAGCACAUGGAUUUAGUGAUAAAAUCAGAAAGGCUAAGACACAGCAAGGGACAGUUACAGCUAGCAAGGGACAAAAGGCAAUAAGAAGUGAGUCUAAAAUACAGUAGGAGAAAGAGGAAGGAAAGUGUAAGGCCUUUACUUCACUGGAGAGGCGAGUGAAUAAUGGAUGACACCAUCACCAAGAAAGCUGAUGUGUUUAAUACCAUUUUUUUUCCCAGUCUUCACUAAAAAGGUUAUGACUAGAUGUUUAACACAAUGUUAACAAUAAGACAAAAGGAACACAAGCCAGAAGAGGGAAAUAACAGAUUAAAAUAUUAUGAUAAAUUAGAUGUAUUCAAAUGGUCUGGCCCUGAUGAAAUCCACCUCAGAUUUACUUAAGGAACUAUGUGAAGCAAUCUUGGGACUAUUAGUUACCUUCAAGAACUGAAUGAGUACUCAUAUCUUUCUCCUUUUUGUCCUCCUCUUUUGUAAACUAAUAACAAAAGGGGAGGGUAAAAAGAGGGAAAAUAUGCCCACUUAUUUAGCACAGAAUCACAAUGUUGAGAACAUUAAUCAAGGAACCAGAGGGCAUGAAGAAAAUAAAUUCUUUCGUUGGCUAUAUACCAAUGCCAGGAUCGUGGGUAAAAUAAAUAGACUUGGAAUUCCUCAUUUAUGAGGAUUAUCUGAAGGUUUUUCAGAUUAAUAGUUUCAUUAAUGGAUUUAUCCAGAGAAUUUCCUAAGAAUAUUGCAUCAUCAGAGAGCCCAGAAGUGCUGAGGGAUAGUAUAUCUAGAUCAGAGAUUGAAAAGAAGACACAUGGCAGCAGAUGCAAUAAGAGUGGUCAUUGGAAUCAGUUGUUGCAUGAAAUAUAAACAGAACACAAUUCUUUAAGGCAAUUCAAACAUUUUUGCUGUUGUUGGUCUUCAGAGAUUUGUCUGAAUGCACCAGCAGGAUAUUCUGGCGGUUUACCAUACAACAAAGUAGUUUGGAAAGAGGAAUCAGAAGCCUCUCUCAAAGAUGCAACCAUUCAGACCAACGUUUAAGUGAUCCAGUACAGAAUACAGAUUCCCUUUUUUGCUUCUUUAUUUUGAAGGUUUCCUGUCUGCAUAAGACUUAGAGACUGAGGGUACAUCUACACUACAGGGGGGAGUCGAUUUAAGAUACGCAAAUUCAGCUACGUGAA